rnacentral:rRNA from 1 species
CGUGUAGGCGGCCAGACAAGUCAGAGGUGAAAGCCCGGGGCUCAACCCCGGAAGUGCCUUUGAAACUGUUUGGCUUGAGUGCGGGAGAGGAAAGCGGAAUUCCCAGUGUAGAGGUGAAAUUCGUAGAUAUUGGGAGGAACACCGGUGGCGAAGGCGGCUUUCUGGACCGACACUGAUGCUGAGGCGCGAAAGCGUGGGGAGCAAACAG